rnacentral:rRNA from 1 species
CCAGACUCCUACGGGAGGCAGCAGUGAGGAAUAUUGGUCAAUGGCCGAGAGGCUGAACCAGCCAAGUCGCGUGAGGGAAGAAUGUCCUAAGGAUUGUAAACCUCUUUUGUCGGGGAGCAAAAAGGCUCUGCGGAGUCGUAUUGAGAGUACCCGAAGAAAAAGCAUCGGCUAACUCCGUGCCAGCAGCCGCGGUAAUACGGGGGGUGCAAGCGUUGUCCGGAAUCAUUGGGCGUAAAGAGUUCGUAGGCGGCACGUAAAGUCUGGUGUUAAAGGCAGAGGCUCAACUUCUGUACGGCACUGGAUACUUGCGAGCUAGAAUGCGGUAGAGGUAAAGGGAAUUCCUGGUGUAGCGGUGAAAUGCUUAGAUAUCAGGAGGAACAUCGGUGGCGUAAGCGCUUUACUGGGCCGUAAUUGACGCUGAGGAACGAAAGCCAGGGUAGCAAAUGGGAUUAGAUACCCUAGUAUA